rnacentral:rRNA from 1 species
UCCCAUAGCAGAAGCUAGUAAGACCCCUUGAAGACUACGAGGUUGAUAGGUCGGGAGUGGAAGUGUGGCAACACAUGGAGCGGACCGAUACUAAUAGGUCGAGGGCUUAACCUG